UUGAAGCUGAUUGGAAUAAAAAGGCUAUUUAACCUUAUAUUAUUCAUAAAUAAGGACAGACAGUUCAGAAAUUAAAGAACCUGUCCACUGCAGAAUAAUUGCUCAAUAAAGAGUAAGAGUUAGAAACUUGCCUUGUUUGUAGUCUAUUGUUAGGAUUUCAGCUUAAUUGAAGUGUUCUCACAAAAUCCUACACAGUUAUUUAUAUUAACAAGCAUGUUAAUCACAUAGCUAAGUUAUAUAGUUUGUAAGCUCACAUAUCACAUAGUUUCAGUGAUCAUG
rnacentral:lncRNA from 1 species